UACGAAGGGGGCUAGCGUUGCUCGGAAUCACUGGGCGUAAAGCGCACGUAGGCGGAUCUUUAAGUCAGGGGUGAAAUCCUGGAGCUCAACUCCAGAACUGCCUUUGAUACUGGGGAUCUCGAGUCCGGGAGAGGAGAGUGGAACUGCGAGUGUAGAGGUGAAAUUCGUAGAUAUUCGCAAGAACACCAGUGGCGAAGGCGGCUCACUGGCCCGGUACUGACGCUGAGGUGCGAAAGCGUGGGGAGCAAACAGG
rnacentral:rRNA from 1 species